UACGUAGGGCGCAAGCGUUAUCCGGAAUUAUUGGGCGUAAAGAGCUCGUAGGCGGUUUGUCGCGUCUGCCGUGAAAGUCCGGGGCUCAACUCCGGAUCUGCGGUGGGUACGGGCAGACUAGAGUGAUGUAGGGGAGACUGGAAUUCCCGGUGUAGUGGUGAAAUGCGUAGAUAUCGGGAGGAACACCAGUGGCGAAGGCGACUCCUGGCCUGUUCUUGACGCUGAGGCGCGAAAGCUA
rnacentral:rRNA from 1 species